CCUACGGGUGGCAGCAGUGGGGAAUAUUGCUCAAUGGGGGAAACCCUGAUGCAGCGACGCCGCGUGAGCGAUGAAGUAUUUCGGUAUGUAAAGCUCUAUCAGCAGGGAAGAAAAUGACGUUACCUGACUAAGAAGCCCCGGCUAACUACGUGCCAGCGGCCGCGGUAAUACGUAGGGGGCAGGCGUUAUCCGGAUUUACUGGGGGUAAAGGGAGCGUAGACGGGGGUGCAAGCCAGAUGUGAAAGCCCGGGGCGCAACCCCGGGACUGCAGUUGGAACUGGGCUGCUAGAGUGUCGGAGAGGCAGGCGGAAUUCCUAGUGUAGCGGUGAAAUGCGUAGAUAUGAGGAGGAACCCCAGUGGCGAAGGCGACUUUCUGGACGAUAACUGACGUUGAGGCACGAAAGUGUGGGGAGCAAACAGGAUUAGAUACCCGUGUAGUC
rnacentral:rRNA from 1 species